CUCAACUACAUGCCAAUAACGCUUACUACUUGCUAAACUUCGAAUUUAAGCAAAAUUUUGUUAAACCCUAAAAAAUAUAAUUCAAUAUUCUUUUACUUACAUCUCUCAAUCAAAGGAAAAAUUUAAGAAUUGAGAACCUAAGCUUGAAAAUCGGAACCUACCUCUUCCUUCUUUCUUUUUUUCUCUUCUUUCUUCCUUUCUCCCUUCUUCUCUAUGGUUUCGUCUCUA
rnacentral:lncRNA from 1 species